rnacentral:rRNA from 1 species
CAACUUUCAGCAAUGGAUCUCUUGGUUCUCGCAUCGAUGAAGAACGCAGUGAAAUGCGAUAACUGGUGUGAAUUGCAUCCAUGUAACUCUAAUUUACGAAUAACACCAAGUGAAUCAUCGAGUCUUUGAACGCAAUUGCGCCCUCUCGGUCGCUUCCA